GAAGGAGUACCAUCGACAGAGGAUCAAAGGUACAGACCUCCUCGCCGCGAUCGUCAUAUCUCACCAGUUACGUAACCGUAAUUAACAAUAGAUAAGCUGUAAUCGGUAACCGCGCAUGCGCCAGUAUCUGUCAACAACCAAGCCACAACAAAUCACUCGGGGCAACAAGAAGCCAAGUUACGACUUUCGAGAUCGUGCUGAAAAUAUGGAUGACAUGACUGAUGCUAUCGACUUUUAUGAAUUAUAAGAUGAGUUAGAUGAUGAAAUUCUCAAAGAAUUGGAGGCAGCAAAUGAACUAGAAGACCAAGAAAAUGACGUUGAUAGACCAGCAAAUAAAUUUUCUGAAGAUGAUGCCAUCAAAGGGAUGAAGGGCUACAUUCAAUUGGCUUUGACGUCACUGAUGAAGUAGUUGACAAGUAGUUGACAAGUUCAAUGCUAUGGUAACUACAAACCAUCUUGAUGUUUUGCUGAACAACAUUGUUGAUAAAGUAACUGUACAAACAUAUUGGUGCAGAAUAACAAGGGCUACUCUUUGUGACGCUGCAUCGAAGCAACUACUUGAUAUUGUAGUGAAGUACUGGAUUAAUUAAAAUUAGAGCCAAUGCUUUUUUGAAAGUAUAUCUGAAUGUAAAGAGGGAAAGUGGUAAGAUUUCAAAAAAGGGAGAAAAAUCUCUAAGGAAGGAGCUGCAAUAAUAUGCCAUAUCUGGGUUUUGUAUAAUAAUGAAUACAUUAUUUUUGGAAAUAAAUAUGCAGGUGAUGUUUUACAGUA